CCUACGGGUGACAGCAGUGGGGAAUAUUGGUCAAUGGGCGUAAGCCUGAACCAGCGAAGUCGCGUGAGUGAUGAAGGUUCUAUGGAUGGUAAGCCUCUUUUAUAGGGGAGUAAAGUAUGGGACGUGUCCUAUUUUGUAUGUACCUUAUGAAUAAGGAUCGGCUAACUCCGUGCCAGCAGCCGCGGUAAUCCGGAGGAUCCGAGCGUUAUCCGGAUUUAUUGGGUUUAACGGGUGCGUAGGCGGCAGUUUAAGUCCGCGGUGAAAUUCUGUGGCCCAACCAUAGAAUUGCCGUUGAAACUGGGGGGCUUGAGUAUGUGUGAGGCAGGCGGAAUGCGUGGUGUAGCGGUGAAAUGCUUAGAUAUCACGCAGAACCCCGAUUGCGAAGGCAGCCUGCCAAGCUAUGACUGACGCUGAUGCACGAAAGCGUGGGGAUCAAACAGGAUUAGAUACCCUUGUAGUC
rnacentral:rRNA from 1 species